rnacentral:lncRNA from 1 species
CCAAUUGAGACCUAAAACAAUCUCAAAUUAAAAUUAACAGAAAAUUUGACCAGAUCCAAAACAAAGCAACUAUAUCAAAUACACCUCAGAAGCAUAAAACAUUGGAAAUGGCAAUCAGCUCUUAUAUCACGGGCGCAUAAAGCAUCAACAGAGAAGAUCCCCUGUCAUGGCACAUCCAAAUUAUAACAGAAAUUUUACAGGUAUCAAUCACACUUAGAUCAUGAAUUUUACAGGUGCUUUUCAACAGAGGGAUUGGGUAGAACAGUCUCAAGAGAAAGGUUGGAUCGUCAUUAGCUGCUGUCUUAAUCUUCCGAGACACAUGGCAGAUGUGAAGAUCACAGUGCCUCACUACAUUGCCAUCUCAGCUUGCAAUGCUGCAAGU